rnacentral:rRNA from 1 species
AUUGAACGCUGGCGGCAGGCCUAACACAUGCAAGUCGAGCGGUAACAGGGGUAGCUUGCUACCCGCUGACGAGCGGCGGACGGGUGAGUAAUGCAUAGGAAUCUGCCCGAUAGUGGGGGAUAACCUGGGGAAACCCAGGCUAAUACCGCAUACGUCCUACGGGAGAAAGGGGGCUCCGGCUCCCGCUAUCGGAUGAGCCUAUGUCAGAUUAGCUGGUUGGUGAGGUAACGGCUCACCAAGGCGACGAUCCGUAGCUGGUCUGAGAGGAUGAUCAGCCACAUCGGGACUGAGACACGGCCCGAACUCCUACGGGAGGCAGCAGUGGGGAAUAUUGGACAAUGGGGGGAACCCUGAUCCAGCCAUGCCGCGUGUGUGAAGAAGGCCCUCGGGUUGUAAAGCACUUUCAGUGAGGAAGAACGCCUGGUGGUUAAUACCCAUCAGGAAAGACAUCACUCACAGAAGAAGCACCGGCUAACUCCGUGCCAGCAGCCGCGGUAAUACGGAGGGUGCGAGCGUUAAUCGGAAUUACUGGGCGUAAAGCGCGCGUAGGUGGCUUGAUAAGCCGGUUGUGAAAGCCCCGGGCUCAACCUGGGAACGGCAUCCGGAACUGUCAAGCUAGAGUGCAGGAGAGGAAGGUAGAAUUCCCGGUGUAGCGGUGAAAUGCGUAGAGAUCGGGAGGAAUACCAGUGGCGAAGGCGGCCUUCUGGACUGACACUGACACUGAGGUGCGAAAGCGUGGGUAGCAAACAGG